AACAAAAACAUGUCUUUUUGAAUUAAAUUUAAAGUCUAACCUGCCCACUGAAAUUUUUUAAAUGGCCGCAGUAUUCUAACUGUGCAAAGGUAGCAUAAUCAUUAGUCUUUUAAUUGAAGGCUGGAAUGAAUGGUUGGACGAAAUAUUAACUGUUUCAUUUAAAUUUUUAUAGAAUUUUAUUUUUUAGUCAAAAAGCUAAAAUUUAUUUAAAAGACGAGAAGACCCUAUAAAUCUUUAUAUUUUGUUUGUUUUAAUUAUAAAGAUUAUUUGUGUUAUAACAAAUUAAAAUAUUUUAUUGGGGUGAUAUUAAAAUUUAAAAAACUUUUAAUUUUUAAAACCAUUAAUUUAUGUAUAAUUGAUCCAUUAAUAAUGAUUAAAAAUUUAAGUUACUUUAGGGAUAACAGCGUAAUUUUUUUGGAGAGUUCAUAUCGAUAAAAAAGAUUGCGACCUCGAUGUUGGAUUAAGAUAUAAUUUUGGGUGUAGCCGUUCAAAUUUUAAGUCUGUUCGACUUUUAAAUUCUUACGUGAUCUGAGUUCAAACCGGA
rnacentral:rRNA from 1 species